GAUGAACGCUGGCGGCGUGCCUAAUACAUGCAAGUCGAGCGAACGGACGAGAAGCUUGCUUCUCUGAUGUUAGCGGCGGACGGGUGAGUAACACGUGGAUAACCUACCUAUAAGACUGGGAUAACUUCGGGAAACCGGAGCUAAUACCGGAUAAUAUUUUGAACCGCAUGGUUCAAAAGUGAAAGACGGUCUUGCUGUCACUUAUAGAUGGAUCCGCGCUGCAUUAGCUAGUUGGUAAGGUAACGGCUUACCAAGGCAACGAUGCAUAGCCGACCUGAGAGAGUGAUCGGCCACACUGGAGCUGAGACACGGUCCAGACUCCUGCGGGAGGCAGCAGUAGGGAAUCUUCCGCAAUGGGCGAAAGCCUGACGGAGCAACGCCGCGUGAGUGAUGAAGGUCUUCGGAUCGUAAAACUCUGUUAUUAGGGAAGAACAUAUGUGUAAGUAACUGUGCACAUCUUGACGGUACCUAAUCAGAAAGCCACGGCUAACUACGUG
rnacentral:rRNA from 1 species